rnacentral:rRNA from 1 species
UACGUAGGGGGCGAGCGUUGUCCGGAUUUAUUGGGCGUAAAGAGCUCGUAGGCGGUUUGUCGCGUCUGCUGUGAAAACCCGAGGCUCAACCUCGGGCCUGCAGUGGGUACGGGCAGACUAGAGUGCGGUAGGGGAGAUUGGAAUUCCUGGUGUAGCGGUGGAAUGCGCAGAUAUCAGGAGGAACACCAAUGGCGAAGGCAGAUCUCUGGGCCGUAACUGACGCUGAGGAGCGAAAGCAUGGGGAGCGAACAGG